rnacentral:misc_RNA from 1 species
UUCAUUUAUUUAAUCAAUACUCCGACGCAAAGAGACAGCGUUAAAUGGUCCUCCGGAGGCGGCGGCGGACGCUCUGCCCCCGAGGCAAAAGGGUUUUUGGUCAACAAUGGGUUGGGGACGGGGGCACGGAGGCCCGCCAUCUUUGGUAAUGAUCCCUCCGCAGGUUCACCUACGGAGA